rnacentral:rRNA from 1 species
GUGAAGAAGGGUUUCGGCUCGUAAAGCUCUGUUGUUAGAGAAGAACGUGCGUGAGAGCAACUGUUCACGCAGUGACGGUAUCUAACCAGAAAGUCACGGCUAACUACGUGCCAGCAGCCGCGGUAAUACGUAGGUGGCAAGCGUUAUCCGGAUUUAUUGGGCGUAAAGCGAGCGCAGGCGGUUUUGAUUAHGUCUGAUGUGAAAGCCUUUGGCUUAACCMAAGAAGUGCAUCGGAAACUGUCAGACUUGAGUGCAGAAGAGGACAGUGGAACUCCAUGUGUAGCGGUGGAAUGCGUAGAUAUAUGGAAGAACACCAGUGGCGAAGGCGGCUGUCUGGUCUGCAACUGACGCUGAGGCUCGAAAGCAUGGGUAGCGAACAGGAUUAGAUACCCUGGUAGUCCAUGCCGUAAACGAUGAGUGCUAGGUGUUGGAGGGUUUCCGCCCUUCAGUGCCGCAGUAACGCAUUAAGCACUCCGCCUGGGGAGUACGACCGCAAGGUUGAAACUCAAA